AACGAACGCUGGCGGCAGGCCUAACACAUGCAAGUCGAGCGAGACCUUCGGGUCUAGCGGCGGACGGGUGAGUAACGCGUGGGAAUAUGCCCUUCGGUUCGGAAUAGCCCCGGGAAACUGGGAGUAAUACCGGAUACGGUCUACGGACGAAAGAUUUAUCGCCGAAGGAUUAGCCCGCGUUGGAUUAGGUAGUUGGUGGGGUAAUGGCCUACCAAGCCGACGAUCCAUAGCUGGUUUGAGAGGAUGAUCAGCCACACUGGGACUGAGACACGGCCCAGACUCCUACGGGAGGCAGCAGUGGGGAAUCUUAGACAAUGGGGGAAACCCUGAUCUAGCCAUGCCGCGUGAGCGAUGAAGGCCUUAGGGUUGUAAAGCUCUUUCAGCGGGGAAGAUAAUGACUGUACCCGCAGAAGAAGCCCCGGCUAACUCCGUG
rnacentral:rRNA from 1 species